rnacentral:ncRNA from 1 species
GAAAGCCGGAUCCGGGAAAUCUGCAUGUCCGGUUUGAAGAGGGAGAAAGCGGAUGCACAUGCAUCCCUUCAUCUACUCUAC